rnacentral:misc_RNA from 1 species
AAACCUUGCAAGCUCGCCAUAUAACAUACCAGACCGAUCAAAGAGCUGGAGCAUAGCUGACAUGAACAAGUGAAAGGCUUGAGUGUUCUGGUCGAUGAGGACCGAAAUUCGCCCAAAGAAAUUCACAACACCGUGCAUCACACGAAGGAAAGACAUCCAGAAGCCCGGUGGUGAAGGUGGGGGGCCACCAUACGGAUUAUUUGGAUCCUGGUU